GGGACAGAGCACAGGAAAGGGACCCCCACAGUCACCUGUGUUUGAAGGCGUCUACAACAAUUCCAGAAUGCUGCAUUUCCUUACAGCUGUUGUGGGCUCCACUUGUGAUGUAAAGGUGAAAAAUGGUACCACUUAUGAGGGUAUCUUCAAGACGCUAAGCUCAAAGGUCAGUGUACUCAAAUUUAAUUAUUUUUGGAGUUGCAGAGUAGGAGGAGAAUGAAAUAGGCUCAUUGAAGGUGUCAAUUGGGUGAUGUCAGAGUAUGCCUUUAGUUGUUUCUGUAGGCCUGUGCUGAAUAGUGCUGCAGGGAAAAAAGACAAAUUUGAGGGCUGGGUACUUUAAUGUUAAAAUAUUUAAGUUUAAAUUUUUGUGAGACUUUUGCUAAGUCCUGUGGCUGAUGUUGAGAAAACAAUGCACUUGGUUCCAAGUGUGUUGAGGAUGUAGUGUUGUGAAAAGUUUGGGAAGGGUAAGAGAAAUCCAGUUCUAUUUAAGAGAAAUCCAGUUCUAUUUU
rnacentral:sRNA from 1 species